rnacentral:rRNA from 1 species
CGGGGUGAGUAACGCGUGGGUAACCUGCCUCAUACAGGGGGAUAACAGUUGGAAACGGCUGCUAAUACCGCAUAAGCGCACAGCAUCGCAUGAUGCAGUGUGAAAAACUCCGGUGGUAUAAGAUGGACCCGCGUUGGAUUAGCUAGUUGGUGAGGUAACGGCCCACCAAGGCGACGAUCCAUAGCCGACCUGAGAGGGUGACCGGCCACAUUGGGACUGAGACACGGCCCAA